UACGGAGAGUGCAAGCGUUGUUCGGAAUUAUUGGGCGUAAAGCGCGUGUAGGUGGCUUUUCAAGUCUGAUGUGAAAGCCCAGGGCUCAACCCUGGAAGUGCAUUGGAAACUGUUGAGCUUGAGUACUGGAGGGGGAAGUGGAAUUCUCGAGUGUAGAGGUGAAAUUCGUAGAUAUUCGGAAGAACAUCAGUGGCGAAGGCGACUUCCUGGACAGAUACUGACACUGAGACGCGAAAGCGUGGGUAGCAAACAGG
rnacentral:rRNA from 1 species